CUACGGGGUGCAGCAGUGAGGAAUAUUGGGCAAUGGAGGCAACUCUGACCCAGCCAUGCCGCGUGCAGGAAGACGGCCCUCUGGGUUGUAAACUGCUUUUGUUUGGGAAUAAACCCUUCUACGUGUAGAAGGCUGAAGGUACCUUACGAAUAAGGAUCGGCUAACUCCGUGCCAGCAGCCGCGGUAAUACGGAGGAUCCAAGCGUUAUCCGGAUUUAUUGGGUUUAAAGGGUCCGUAGGCGGAUCUUUAAGUCAGUGGUGAAAGCCCACAGCUCAACUGUGGAACUGCCAUUGAUACUGGAGAUCUUGAGUGUAGUAGAAGUAGGCGGAAUAGGGCAUGUAGCGGUGAAAUGCAUAGAUAUGCCCUAGAACACCGAUUGCGAAGGCAGCUUACUAUGUUACAACUGACGCUGAGGGACGAAAGCGUGGGGAGCAAACAGGAUUAGAUACCCUAGUAGUC
rnacentral:rRNA from 1 species